rnacentral:misc_RNA from 1 species
AAAGUCGUAACAAGGUUUCCGUAGGUGAACCUGCGGAAGGAUCAUUAACACGUAUCCAACGUUAAAACCCCCCUGUGAACCUUCAUUCCUGCUCCGAAAACUUUUCACCAGCAAUCCCAGUAAAUCAUUGUUGAACAGUUUUGAUUUGGGACCUCUGUUGGAGAGCGUACGUUGACGUCGGUUGAGAUAGAGGCAUGGCUUCCCGAAGCAGUCAUCAAAUGAAAGUGUUGAUGGCUGUAGACGGAUAACUUCACGGUCGCUGGAGGCCCACACGGUCGGCGGACAUGCCUUAAGGGCGAAAGCCCCCUAAUCACCCCACUACCCUACUUCACCUGCCGCGAAAGCCGCAGGUGCAAAACGAACAACUGUUAACAAUGGAUAUCUUGGUUCUC